AGCAGCCACGGUAAUUCCAGCUCCAAUAGCGUAUAUUAAAGUUGCUGCAGUUAAAAAGCUCGUAGUUGAAUUUCGGGACCAUCAUGUCGGUCGUGCCUCGGUACGUACUGGCAUUGUUGGUUUCUUCCUUCUGACGAACCAUGAUGUCAUUUAUUUGGUGUCGUGGGAAAUCAGGACUGUUACUUUGAAAAAAUUAGAGUGCUUAAAGCAGGCUCACGCUUGAAUACAUUAGCAUGGAAUAAUGAAAUAGGAUGUUUGAUUCUAUUUUGUUGGUUUUUAGGAUCGACGUAAUGAUUAAUAGGGAUAGUUGGGGGCAUUAGUAUUCAAUUGUCAGAGGUGAAAUUCUUGGAUUUAUUGAAGACUAACUACUGCAAAAGCAUUUGCCAAGGAUGUUUUCAUUAAUCAAGAACGAAAGUUAGGGAUCGAAGACGAUCAGAUACCGUCGUAGUCUUAACCAUAAACUAUGCCGACUAGGAAUCAGAUGAUGUUAAUUUUUUAAUGACUCA
rnacentral:rRNA from 1 species